GCCUAAGGCCAGUCUGAUAUGAGCUCAACUCACCACCUGGAAAGCAGAAACGCUUUUUAUGUCUCAAGAAGUUGGCUGAUCCAGAAUCUUUCUGAUUAGCAAGACAAGAGAGUGUCUGGGGGCCAAGGGCUUGCAGGAGCACAUUCCAGGAUUGUCUGUGGAGCUUUUGGACCUGGC
rnacentral:lncRNA from 1 species